CUCCGGACCCGGGCAGCGCCGGGAGGGCGGCGGGCGCCGCGCCCGCUGCCGGAGCGGGGGGAGGACGAGAGGAUGGAGACGGAGGAGGGUGGGAGAGGGGGGCGAGGGGGGCGCCCCCGCUGUGCCAGCCGCUCCCCGCCCCCCCGCAGCGUGCGCCCACCCCUCUUUCCCCCACCCACCCCCCACCCACCCCCGGCGGCGGGCAGCCCCGGGGCGCUGCCUUACCUGGCAACCGGGGCGGGCGCCGCCGGCGCGUCCUUCAGCGCUCCCCCCGCGGCGGGGCCGCGCUCAGCCCCGGCCCCUCCCGGUGCGCGGAGCGGCGCGGAGCGGUGCGCCCCCGCGCAAGGCAGGCUGACACCCCCCCCCUUCUCCUCCCUUCCCUUCUUCCCUUCCCCUCCCCGUCCCUAUCCCCCGGCGGGCAGGCGGCGCGCCGGGCGUUAAGUUCGGGCGGCGGUGGGCGCCGGCGGGCAGGGCGAGGCGAGGCGGAGGCGGCCCGGGGGCUGCGCGGCGCCGGGAGCGCCGCCACACUGCAGCGUCUCCAGGAAUCCCUCCCGCGAGAGGCAGCCCAUCACCCCCGGCCCGCCGCCCUCAUUGGCUGGGGGGCGGGGAGAACGGAGCCGCCGGCCAAUCGCGCGGCGCCCAGCAUGGGUGGAGCCGCCGCGCCGGCCUCGCCCAUCCCGCGGCCGCCCGGUCCCCGGCCGCCCCGUCGGGCGGGGCCGGGCGCCGAGGGCAUCCCCGCGCGGCCGCGCGCACCCCGGUCCGUGCGCGGCCCCGCGCGGCCCCGCGCACCGCUGCGGGAAGCGGAGGCGGUGGCGGUGGCGACCCCUCGGUGCUGGGCUCUCCCCGGAGCAGCCCGCAUCGCCCCCAGUUGUAUUCAGGGAAGAAGAAGGUGUCCUGGCAUGAGAAAAUGGAAGAAAUAUGCAGUGAGAGAAGAAAUGAUGUUCUAAAACUGAGUCCUAUUCUUUUUUUUUUUUUUAAUGUGCAUCAAAAGAGAAUAUUAAGUAGUGUCUACAAUUUAGAAGAUUCAUCAAGAACCCCGAUAAGUACAAAUUAAGAACCUGACUCUGAUCCAUCCUUCAUAUUCCUUGUUUUUAAUUUAGACUUCGACUGAGCCAGAGGUACAGGAGCGUCUGGGAAGAAUCUGAAUAAAAAAGCAAGAGCAGAAAUGGUGCA
ensembl:lncRNA